AGAACAGGACUCUUUGGGAGGCGGUCACGAAGGUAAAGGAGGGUCCCACAGAAGUACGUACCUCAAUGGCUUUUGCUGCUUGCUCUUUUGUUUCAAAUUCCACAAAGGCAAAUCCCUUAGGAUCCCCAGUAGACUUGUAAUGUGGAAUACUUAUGUAAACCACAUUGCCACAUUUCCCAAAUACUCUCUCAAUCCAGCUAUGAGUAACAUUUUUGGGGAGC
rnacentral:misc_RNA from 1 species